GAUGAACGCUAGCGGCAGGCCUAACACAUGCAAGUCGAGGGGUAACUAGAGUGAUAGCAAUAUUACUUUGGCUAGACCGGCGCACGGGUGCGUAACACGUAUGCAACCUACCUUAUACUGGGGAAUAACUUCGAGAAAUCGGCGCUAAUACCCCAUAACAUUGCGAAGAGGCAUCUCUUUGCAAUUAAAGCUCCGGCGGUAUAAGAUGGGCAUGCGUCCAAUUAGCUAGUUGGUGAGGUAACGGCUCACCAAGGCUACGAUUGGUAGGGGUUCUGGGAGGAUGAUACCCCACACUGGAACUGAGACACGGACCAGACUCCUACGGGAGGCAGCAGUGAGGAAUAUUGCGCAAUGGACGAAAGUCUGACGCAGCCAUGCCGCGUGCAGGAGGACGGCCCUAUGGGUUGUAAACUGCUUUUGUACGGGAAUAAACCCUUCUACGUGUAGGAGGCUGAAGGUACCGUAAGAAUAAGCACCGGCUAACUCCGUGCCAGCAGCCGCCGUAA
rnacentral:rRNA from 1 species